GGGAUUGUGGUUCAGUGGUAGAGCACUCACCUAGCAUGUGUGAGGACCUGGGUUUGAUCCUCAGCACCA
rnacentral:tRNA from 1 species